ACAGAUUGAAAUUUGCUUUCUGCUUCUUGAUUUCAGAAGCAAUCUUUCUAGUGCCUCUUGUCCAAGAAUCUUAUCUGUGUCACUUGAAGUGAUGGCUGCUAAGCUUCUUGCAAACUUGAUUGUGAUGGGCUCUGGAAUCUUGGCUAGGGCAUUUGUCCAAGGAUACCGUCAGGCACUUGCAAAUGCUUCCAAAUCUGGUGUUGCCCAAGAAACAGUGCAGAAUAUUAGGAGAGCAAGCAAAAUCAUGGCUGAACCAGAAGCAAGGCAGAUUCUAGGCGUCAGUGAGCAUUCAACAUGGGAGGAAAUCUUACAGAAGUAUGAUAACUUAUUUGAGAGGAAUGCCAAGAAUGGGAGCUUUUACCUGCAAUCAAAAGUUCAUAGAGCUAAGGAAUGCUUAGAAGCAGCAUACCAGAAGAAAGG
rnacentral:misc_RNA from 1 species